UACAGAGGGUGCAAACGUUGCUCGGAGUUACUGGGCGUAAAGCGCGUGUAGGCGGUUUCGCAAGUCAGGUGUGAAAGCCCAGGGCUCAACCCUGGAAGUGCACUUGAUACUACGGAGCUUGAGUGCUGGAGAGGAGAGCGGAAUUCCCGGUGUAGAGGUGAAAUGCGUAGAUAUCGGGAGGAACACCAGUGGCGAAGGCGACUACCUGGCCUGUUCUUGACGCUGAGGCGCGAAAGCUAGGGGAGCAAACAGG
rnacentral:rRNA from 1 species